UACACUGUGACAGCACAGAACUUCUCACCAUUUCUUAGCAUGACACUCCCUAUCACACUCACACACUGACAGGUGUUCUCUCCACCUGAAGAGUCCUAUCACCCUCUUCUAUAUCAGACCUUGUAGAUACAAGAAUCAUUUUUAAACAUCAAAUUUUGUGGAUAAGGACCUACCUCCUACAUACAUACCCUGGAUAAGAUGAGUAAAAUACUUGAUUCCUGUCUGUUAAGAAAUGGCUGAACAAUGGAUAAUACUACAAGUUUUGAAGAUUCCAGCUCCAUUAUUUGCUACCAGUAAAACCAAAGAACCCUGGGUGGCACCAUCUCUGCUGCUUUUGGAAUUUCCAGAUGUCUGUGCCAGCAGUUUCCACCCCCUCUGAGAUUUCCAGGGAGCUGAAGUUGGAAUCAGAAGCUAGUUGGAGGCCUCUGGAAGUGAGCUCUGUACUGGCUUUGGAAUGAGGGGGUGGUUCUGAAGAGUUCUUAGCACUUGCUUCAUACUGGACCAGCCUGUAUCACCUUCUGCUGGAGAGUCUGAUGCAUCAUUUUAUUCUCAGUGACUUGCACAGUCCUUAGGCUCUACAUCCAGCGACCAGUGGGAGGAUUCUAGGAGCAGAGGGUCCUCAGCUAAUAGCCUGAAAGGAAACACAGACCUCUUUCCUACAACCACAUGGAACAGGAUUCUGCCAGCACUGGAAUAAGCAAGAGACUCUCUCCAAAGGACACAUGGAUUUAGUCUGAGACCUAUAUCGGAUUUCUGACCUAUAGAAACAUAAGAAAAUCUCAUUUUUGACUGGACUCAGACUCAGAUGUGGAAGUUCUCAAAGAAGACAGCCUCUAACUCUCUGCAAUCUGUUCCUGGUGUUUUUCUUUGGUUUCCUUCAAUUUUUGGCUAAAAGUUUAGCAUACUCUGCUACCUCUUCCUUGUUUCUUCAGACCAACAAACAGAUGUCUGCAUUGCAAACAUGGCUUAAGACACUGAGUCUUGGAUGCUUUGGUCCUGGGUUUCUUAUUUGUCUUUGUUUAGGGGCUUUCUCACAAUAU